GCCCCGUUGGCUCAGCGGUAGAGCGCGUCCUUGGUAAGGACGAGGUCCCGGGUUCAAAUCUCGGACGGGGCU
rfam:Candidatus Nanosalinarum sp. J07AB56 genomic scaffold scf_7180000039101, whole genome shotgun sequence.